AAAGCGUGCGCAGGCGGUUAUAUAAGACAGAUGUGAAAUCCCCGGGCUCAACCUGGGAACUGCAUUAGUGACUGCAUAGCUGGAGUACGGCAGAGGGGGAUGGAAUUCCGCGUGUAGCAGUGAAAUGCGUAGAUAUGCGGAGGAACACCGAUGGCGAAGGCAAUCCCCUGGGCCUGUACUGACGCUCAUGCACGAAAGCGUGGGGAGCAAACAGGAUUAGAUACCCCAGU
rnacentral:rRNA from 1 species